GGAGAACCCAAUCGUGAUGAAGGCCUUCUACAUCACUGCUGCUGUCGCCCACGACUCCAUGGAAGGCUGAUCUCCUCACUAGGGCUGGAUGCAGCCCUAACAAAGGGAUAAGGGUUUUAUAUUUUAUUUUAUAUUCUUGGGGUUGUAUGAACUUAUUGUCUCUAAUGGAUAUCUUCUUUUGAAUCAUAUUUAAUUUCUGUGAUUUUAAGUAUGAUGUUCGUACAACUGUUCUUCAUGAUCACUAGGUAAAUAUAAGAUAGUCCAUGCUUAAGGAAGAUGUGGUGUGCUACCGCAUUAGUUUAGGGUAGACAUUACAUGCCAACUGAAGAUGGAUUAU
rnacentral:lncRNA from 1 species